GACGAACGCUGGCGGCGUGCUUAACACAUGCAAGUCGAACGGAAAGGCCCCUUUGGGGGUACUCGAGUGGCGAACGGGUGAGUAACACGUGAGUAACCUGCCCUUCACUUCGGGAUAACUUCAGGAAACUGGGGCUAAUACGGGAUAGGAAUCCUUGCUGCAUGGUGGGGGUUGGAAAGCUUCGGCGGUUUUGGGUGGAGUCGCGGCUUAUCAGCUUGUUGGUGGGGUAGUGGCUUACCAAGGCGUUGACGGGUAGCCGGCCUGAGAGGGCGACCGGCCACAUUGGGACUGAGAGACGGCCCAGACUCCUACGGGAGGCAGCAGUGGGGAAUAUUGCACAAUGGGCGGAAGCCUGAUGCAGCAACGCCGCGGGCGGGAUGACGGCCUUCGGGUUGUCAACCGCUUUCAGCAGGGGCGAAGCUUGUGGUGACGGUACCUGCAGAAGAAGCACCGGCUAACUACGUG
rnacentral:rRNA from 1 species